GCUUGGAAUUUCAAUUAGAUUCAAUAUACAAUAUAAGUGUAAAUAAAUGAUACAUAAAAAAAGGAAAUAAAAAAUCACCAGGAUUUCUAUCAGAUCUUGGAUUCUAUUAUAUAUAUAUAGAAGAACCUAUCCAUGUACCAACCAUGUCCCUUGUAAGCAGUCAAUUCUAUUUUGGUUUUAUCAACAGGUUUUUAAAAUGUUUAUGUUUUUUUUAAAAACAAAAUUCCUCAGGGAAACUCAGAUAAAUUUCUUAAGGUUAGAUAUUUGAUACAGAUGAUACUGCAUAAACAUUAAUAAUUUCAACACCCAUCAACAAUUUUAAAAGCAUAAACUAUUAAAGUUUAAUUAAAAUUUGGUUACAAGAAAAUUGGUUGACCCAUGAAUUAGAUUAACUGUAAUACCGGUAUUAAUAAAAAACAGAAAUAAAUCUCAUAUGUGUUGCUUUUUGUGCCCUUUAUAGCUUACUGUUCGGUGUGAGCCAAGGCUCUGUUUUGAAGACCGCAGUUUUACCUAUAAUGGUUUACUUUUACAAGUUAUGACAUGGGUGGAGAGUUGACUCCUUGGAACUCAUACCACAUCUUCUUAUAUCUAUUUACAAGUUUUUUUUUGUGCUAAGGAGAAGAUCUAGAUUCAAUGAUGGCAUUUUUGGAAUAACUUGUUACUAAACGAUUGUACUUUGAAUGUGCAUGUGCAGCGUUGUGAGAGGAUUCUUAUCGUCUUUAGAUGGUAAGAAUUUUCUUAAUUAUGAUGAAUGACUUUCAUUAGAAGUAUUGAAAAUUUAAACACCUAAGAGUACAAAAAGGGGAGAUAAUAUGUUCAUAGCUACUUAUACCAAAGCAACAUAACACUUUUCAAGCAAUGCAUUUCUUGCAUUUUUGGACCCAUUUUCACAUUAUGAUUUAGAUAUUUCACGGUCUAUAUAAAAAUUAUUAUAUAAAUAUCAAAGACAUAACAUAUGCAUAAUUACUUUUCACAAAUACAAGUAUACAUACAAAAUAUAAAUAAGAAGAUG
rnacentral:lncRNA from 1 species